UGGGCUGGGUAAAAUUCUUCUCUUCUUCACCCUUUAAUUUUAGCCCAUCCGAUCCUUUAUUUUAGGUCCUGGAAUCGUGAGAACUCCCAGUCCCUUGGCACAUCCCUCUGAAUCACUGACGUUCGGUGGCCACCUCCACCCAUGCCUGUCCCCUGCCUGCUCCCUCGCCGGGUGUCAGUUCUCGAGCCUACGUGCUGAGAAGAAAAGUUAAAAAGUGUCCCCAGCCAACAUGGAAGGAGCAGAGGAUGGAUGGCCCCAGGUACCCCCUGUGAUACCAGAAGUGCUCGUGGGAGCAUUUCACACAUCUCUGACCUGCAGAGGAUGAAGGACUCUUCCCCAUACUCAAGGGGAUCCGGCUGGGCUGCAGGAGCACAAUGGGGAGCAGCCAGGUCAUAAGAGUGAGAAAUGUCACUUUGCAGUGAGGGGAACUCUGGGCUGGAGAAUGAGAGAGUCCCCUGAAAUAGCAGGUGAGCUGGAGCUGGGGUCUGGGAUCAGAUGCUAUUAUUUGGGUUUGACUGGGGCUGGAGCCCACUCACUGCAGG
rnacentral:lncRNA from 1 species